UACGUAGGUGGCAAGCGUUGUCCGGAUUUACUGGGCGUAAAGAGCGCGCAGGCGGUCGUUUUAAGUCGCGUGUGAAAGCCCCCCGGCUCAACUGGGGAGGGUCACGCGAUACUGAUCGACUCGAAGGCAGGAGAGGGUAGUGGAAUUCCCGGUGUAGUGGUGAAAUGCGUAGAUAUCAGGAAGAACACCCGUGGCGAAGGCGGCUCUCUGGGACGGUACUGACGCUGAGACGCGAAAGCGUGGGGAGCGAACAGG
rnacentral:rRNA from 1 species